UUCAGGUUAUGUGCAUCAGAACCAAACACUUGUUAUUUUCAGUGAGCUUAUGUUUCCGCAUUGCGAGCAGGAGGUGACUAGUGUUUAGACAAACAUAUUAGUGCACAUUACGUACCUGUGCUGUUCGGCAAUUACGAAAAAUACCAGAUCGACGUGUUGUGGAUUAGGAGAGCACUCAUGGACUCCAAGGGAACUAGUUGGCUGAAAAAAGAGAAGAAUGAAGUAUAUGCUGAACCAGGCUCCUUCGUUCAGUUACACACAUCUACCAUGAAAUUAAAAGAAGAAUUGGAUGAGAAAGUGAAC